GACUUGAAAAUCCGUUGGCUUUAAAGACCGUGAGGGUUCAAGUCCCUCUACCCCCA
rnacentral:tRNA from 12 species